rnacentral:rRNA from 1 species
AGGAUUCCCCUAGUAACUGCGAGUGAAGCGGGAAAAGCUCAAAUUUAAAAUCUGGCAGUCUUUGGCUGUCCGAGUUGUAUUCUAGAGAAGCGCUUUCCGUGCCGGACCGUGUACAAGUCUCUUGGAACAGAGCGUCAUAGAGGGUGAGAAUCCCGUCUUUGACACGGACUACCGGUGCUUUGUGAUGCGUUUUCAAAGAGUCGAGUUGUUUGGGAAUGCAGCUCAAAAUGGGUGGUAAAUUCCAUCUAAAGCUAAAUAUUGGCGAGAGACCGAUAGCGAACAAGUACCGUGAGGGAAAGAUGAAAAGCACUUUGGAAAGAGAGUUAAACAGUACGUGAAAUUGCUGAAAGGGAAACGCUUGAAGUCAGUCGCGUCGUUCAGAACUCAGCCUGGCUUUUGCUCGGUGCACUUUCUGAAUGACGGGCCAGCAUCAAUUUUGACUGUUGGAUAAAGGCUGGAGAAAUGUGGCUCCUUUGGGAGUGUUAUAGUCUCCGGUUGCAUACGAUGGUUGGGAUUGAGGAACUCAGCAUGCCUUUAUGGUCGGGGUUCGCCCACGUUCAUGCUUAGGAUGCUGGCGUAAUGGCUUUAAACGACCCGUCUUGAAACACGGACCAAGGAGUCUAACAUGCCUGCGAGUGUUUGGGUGGAAAACCCGAGCGCGCAAUGAAAGUGAAAGUUGGGAUCCCUGUCGUGGGGAGCACUGACGCCCGGACCAGACCUUUUGUGACGGAUCCGCGGUAGAGCAUGUAUGUUGGGACCCGAAAGAUGGUGAACUAUGCCUGAAGAGGGUGAAGCCAGAGGAAACUCUGGUGGAGGCUCGUAGCGAUUCUGACGUGCAAAUCGAUCGUCAAAUUUGGGUAUAGGG